rnacentral:tRNA from 1 species
UUUGAGGAGUGACAUCUAGUGGCACAGUGGACUGUUAAUCCAUAUGUCGCAAGUUCGAGUCUUGCCCGGGGAGCCA